rnacentral:rRNA from 1 species
UACAGAGGGUGCUAGCGUUGUUCGGAAUCAUUGGGCGUAAAGGGCGUGUAGGCGGUUUGUUAAGUCAUGUGUGAAAUCCCUCGGCUCAACCGGGGAACGACGCAUGAAACUGGCAAGCUAGAGUACCAAAGAGGGGGGUGGAAUUCCCGGUGUAGCGGUGAAAUGCGCAGAUAUCGGGAGGAACACCAAUGGCGAAGGCAGCUCGCUGGGACGUUACUGACGCUGAGACGCGAAAGCGUGGGGAGCAAACAGG